AGAUUGAACGCUGGCGGCAUGCCUUACACAUGCAAGUCGAACGGCAGCACGGGAGCAAUCCUGGUGGCGAGUGGCGAACGGGUGAGUAAUAUAUCGGAACGUGCCCAGUCGUGGGGGAUAACGGCAGCGAAAGCUGUGCUAAUACCGCAUACGAUCUAUGGAUGAAAGCGGGGGAUCGCAAGACCUCGCGCGAUUGGAGCGGCCGAUAUCAGAUUAGCUAGUUGGUGGGGUAAAAGCCUACCAAGGCGACGAUCUGUAGCUGGUCUGAGAGGACGACCAGCCACACUGGAACUGAGACACGGGUCCAGACUCCUACGGGAGGCAGCAGUGGGG
rnacentral:rRNA from 1 species